UAAAAAAUGAAAUCCAAAAUUUCUAACAACAAAAUUUGAAAGUUCAAAGUCAAGUUAAAGGAGAGGAUACCUAAAAAUGGCGAGGCGUUUUCAUCGGGGAGACGUCGGAAUCAUUAAAUCACAAGGAUAAUCCCCGUGUCACCAGACGGCCGAGUGUUGCCAACUGCUUCUUCCUGGUCCAACACAAAUGUUUGCCCAAUAAAUAUGCUCCGGGGCCGGAUGAGGCUCAUAGAUUUAUGCACUGGCUGGGUAUCGGGGAGGAAGCAGAGUUUUGACUUCUAACCCGGGCUUCUGAUAUCGUCGAAAGUACUAAUUUACGACUGAAACAGCCCUUUUUCAAACGUUUCUGACACAGAUGGUGAUGCCUAUGAACCAUUAGGGUAUAACCUGGAAAUAAAUACAUAUUAAGAGCUAUAGUAACGGACUGCGGAGCGUUGAAACUUGGACGAUCAGAAAGGCGGACAAAGUACGAUCCGGAAAGCGGAAGCUGCUGGAACAGUGAGCGGUGGAGUGGCUCAAGUAGCAAACGGGGUGAAGUCACUUGUCAAGUUUCUGCGUGGUGAGAGGUUCGUCGCUCGGUCAAAUAAAGUAAGUUAUCUCUUUUGAUCAGCUCGUUUUGGGUGGCUAAAACACAAUUCGACUCUCAACGUAAACACGUCAACGGAAUUUGAUUCAAUCGUCGUAAUUGCCACAAUAACGACUCGAUUGUUACCUGGGUCUCCAGCUAAAGAAACGUGUCGCCGUCGACGGGAGGCCAGUUUCAAACGGCGCUUUUGAGGUUUGAGAAGGACAACGGACGACAACAAAACGAAUCCAUUGUGGCCGGAUUGACUUGUUUCCUUGGGCCAACUGCGGAAACGCAACAGUUACGGCAUUGAUGACACCCCGGACAAUGAGCCCGUGCUCCUGCGACACCUGGAACCUGCCCGGAUGACACACCUGCCUGGAAAAACCGAUGAACGAGUCAGAUGGAAGAACCUGAAAAGGGGGAUCUGACCAAAAUUAAACUGAGUUUGGCCUGCUACAGCGGCGAAAAUGGUGCAACUUUUCCAGUAUAUCUAAUCUAGUAAAUCCAAUCAACCAAUACGUAAGUAUAAGAGGGAUCUGAUAUAAAAGACAUGCGAGAAAUAUUUUUCUUAUGUGUCAACUUAGCGACCUUUUCCACAUUUAUCAACUUUAAUUAUUUUUUAUCAAGUUACUCCAUUAAUUAUAAACAAUUUUGGUGUGA